AUUGAACGCUGGCGGCAGGCCUAACACAUGCAAGUCGAGCGGAUGAAGGAAGCUUGCUCCUGGAUUCAGCGGCGGACGGGUGAGUAAUGCCUAGGAAUCUGCCUGGUAGUGGGGGAUAACGUCCGGAAACGGGCGCUAAUACCGCAUACGUCCUGAGGGAGAAAGUGGGGGAUCUUCGGACCUCACGCUAUCAGAUGAGCCUAGGUCGGAUUAGCUAGUUGGUGGGGUAAAGGCCUACCAAGGCGACGAUCCGUAACUGGUCUGAGAGGAUGAUCAGUCACACUGGAACUGAGACACGGUCCAGACUCCUACGGGAGGCAGCAGUGGGGAAUAUUGGACAAUGGACGAAAGCCUGAUCCAGCCAUGCCGCGUGUGUGAAGAAGGUCUUCGGAUUGUAAAGCACUUUAAGUUGGGAGGAAGGGCAGUAAGUUAAUACCUUGCUGUUUUGACGUUACCAACAGAAUAAGCACCGGCUAACUUCGUG
rnacentral:rRNA from 1 species